GUGGGGAAUAUUGCACAAUGGGCGCAAGCCUGAUGCAGCCAUGCCGCGUGUGUGAAGAAGGCCUUCGGGUUGUAAAGCACUUUCAGCGGGGAGGAAGGCGGUGAGGUUAAUAACCUCACCGAUUGACGUUACCCGCAGAAGAAGCACCGGCUAACUCCGUGCCAGCAGCCGCGGUAAUACGGAGGGUGCAAGCGUUAAUCGGAAUUACUGGGCGUACAGCGCACGCAGGCGGUCUGUCAAGUCGGAUGUGAAAUCCCCGGGCUCAACCUGGGAACUGCAUUCGAAACUGGCAGGCUAGAGUCUUGUAGAGGGGGGUAGAAUUCCAGGUGUAGCGGUGAAAUGCGUAGAGAUCUGGAGGAAUACCGGUGGCGAAGGCGGCCCCCUGGACAAAGACUGACGCUCAGGUGCGAAAGCGUGGGGAGCAAACAGGAUUAGAUACCCCGGUAGUCC
rnacentral:rRNA from 1 species